UACGAAGGGGGCUAGCGUUGCUCGGAAUCACGGGGCGUAAAGGGUGCGUAGGCGGGGCUUUAAGUCAGGGGUGAAAUCCUGGAGCUCAACUCCAGAACUGCCUUUGAUACUGAAGAUCUUGAGUUCGGGAGAGGUGAGUGGAACUGCGAGUGUAGAGGUGAAAUUCGUAGAUAUUCGCAAGAACACCAGUGGCGAAGGCGGCUCACUGGCCCGGUACUGACGCUGAGGUGCGAAAGCGUGGGGAGCAAACAGG
rnacentral:rRNA from 1 species